rnacentral:rRNA from 1 species
UCAGGAUGAACGCUAGCUACAGGCUUAACACAUGCAAGUCGAGGGGCAGCAUGGUCUUAGCUUGCUAAGGCCGAUGGCGACCGGCGCACGGGUGAGUAACACGUAUCCAACCUGCCGUCUACUCUUGGACAGCCUUCUGAAAGGAAGAUUAACACAAGAUGGCAUCAUGAGUCCGCAUGUUCACAUGAUUAAAGGUAUUCCGGUAGACGAUGGGGAUGCGUUCCAUUAGAUAGUAGGCGGGGUAACGGCCCACCUAGUCUUCGAUGGAUAGGGGUUCUGAGAGGAAGGUCCCCCACAUUGGAACUGAGACACGGUCCAAACUCCUACGGGAGGCAGCAGUGAGGAAUAUUGGUCAAUGGGCGAGAGUCUGAACCAGCCAAGUAGCGUGAAGGAUGACUGCCCUAUGGGUUGUAAACUUCUUUUAUAAAGGAAUAAAGUCGGGUAUGCAUACCCGUUUGCAUGUACUUUAUGAAUAAGGAUCGGCUAACUCCGUGCCAGCAGCCGCGGUAAUACGGAGGAUCCGAGCGUUAUCCGGAUUUAUUGGGUUUAAAGGGAGCGUAGAUGGAUGUUUAAGUCAGUUGUGAAAGUUUGCGGCUCAACCGUAAAAUUGCAGUUGGUACUGGAUAUCUUGAGUGCAGUUGAGGCAGGCGGAAUUCGUGGUGUAGCGGUGAAAUGCUUAGAUAUCACGAAGAACUCCGAUUGCGAAGGCAGCCUGCUAAGCUGCAACUGACAUUGAGGCUCGAAAGUGUGGGUAUCAAACAGGAUUAGAUACCCUGGUAGUCCACACGGUAAACGAUGAAUACUAGGUGUUGGGGAUUUAUAAAUCCUCGGUGCCGUCGCAAACGCAAUAAGUAAUCCACCUGGGGAGUACGUUCGCAAGAAUGAAACUCAAAUGAAUUGACGGAAGGGCGA